UGGGGAAUAUUGCACAAUGGGCGCAAGCCUGAUGCAGCCAUGCCGCGUGUAUGAAGAAGGCCUUCGGGUUGUAAAGUACUUUCAGCGGGGAGGAAGGUGUUGAGGCUAAUAACCUCAGCAAUUGACGUUACCCGCAGAAGAAGCACCGGCUAACUCCGUGCCAGCAGCCGCGGUAAUACGGAGGGUGCAAGCGUUAAUCGGAAUUACUGGGCGUAAAGCGCACGCAGGCGGUCUGUCAAGUCGGAUGUGAAAUCCCCGGGCUCAACCUGGGAACUGCAUUCGAAACUGGCAGGCUAGAGUCUUGUAGAGGGGGGUAGAAUUCCAGGUGUAGCGGUGAAAUGCGUAGAGAUCUGGAGCAAUACCGGUGGCGAAGGCGGCCCCCUGGACAAAGACUGACGCUCAGGUGCGAAAGCGUGGGGAGCAAACA
rnacentral:rRNA from 1 species